rnacentral:lncRNA from 1 species
CCUUUAUGGUUUUUAUCAGAGACAUAUAAUAUGUCUCUGUUUUUAUAAAUUUACCACUUUAGAUAAUUGAAUAUUAUGAUUUUUUUCUGUGUAUUCAAUUACUGCAGUUAAAUUAUUUAUUGCAUACAUGUACAUAGCGAUUUUUUCAUGUGCAUUCCAGGGUCCUACUUAAAAGCACCCGGGAGCGCCUAGGUGAAGAAAAUGCGCCCCGGGAAAAUAUAUGAAAAUUGUAUUAGCAUGAGACAACUUUGUGUCGAUGAAAUAAGUUAUGCACAUUGAUUUUUUUUAAUUUUAGACAAGUAUUUUGCAAAUUCAGAUAAUAGACAUUUGUAAUAUGAAUGUUUCAAUUUAAACAAUAAU